rnacentral:rRNA from 1 species
GACGAACGCUGGCGGCGUGCUUAACACAUGCAAGUCGAACGGAAAGGCCCUGCUUUUGUGGGGUGCUCGAGUGGCGAACGGGUGAGUAACACGUGAGUAACCUGCCCUUGACUUUGGGAUAACUUCAGGAAACUGGGGCUAAUACCGGAUAGGAGCUCCUGCUGCAUGGUGGGGGUUGGAAAGUUUCGGCGGUUGGGGAUGGACUCGCGGCUUAUCAGCUUGUUGGUGGGGUAGUGGCUUACCAAGGCUUUGACGGGUAGCCGGCCUGAGAGGGUGACCGGCCACAUUGGGACUGAGAUACGGCCCAGACUCCUACGGGAGGCAGCAGUGGGGAAUAUUGCAGAAUGGGCGGAAGCCUGAUGCAGCAACGCCGCGUGCGGGAUGACGGCCUUCGGGUUGUAAACCGCUUUCGCCUGUGACGAAGCGUGAGUGACGGUAAUGGGUAAAGAAGCACCGGCUAACUACGUG